UCUUCGCUAGUAUAUCGGUUAGUAUAAUCGCCUCUCAAGAGAGAGCAGCUGAGGCUCAAACGAGCUUCCAAUGAUCGCGAUAGAGCAGGGUUCGACUCCCUGGCGGAGAA